CUGCGUGCUCUCUGCCUCCCAUGGCCGACGGCCUCCGCAGCGCAGCAGCCAUGGACGAGCUUUUUUUUCUCCCCUGCUGUUCCCCUGCGUGCAGGGAGCACCAAGGCCAGCGCCCCCUUUUCCAAUGGCGUCCUUGCUGCAGGAUGCGCAGAAACUUCUCCAUGGCGCCCCCUGCUUCUUCCUCCCGCAGCACGGCAGCAAGCAGCCAUUCCCAUGGCCGAGCUUACCUCCCUGCCGCGAGCUCUCUUUGGCUCCUUCCCCAAGUCCGACUGGAGCUUGCCUCCUCCAUGGCCGGCGCCCAGCAACAGUAGCAGCCGGGUCUUCGUCCUCCCUCUGCUGUCCGCGGCAUGCAGCAAACAGGGAGCUCGAGUUUCUUCCAUGGCUGCCAACCUCCUCUGCCCCCUUGCUGUCCCACCCCUUCUCCCUCAAGCCAGCGCCUUCCCCGACCACAUCUCCAUGACCGAGCAGCAGCUCUGCUCGCCCCCCUCCUUCUUUUUCCCUUGCGCAGCAGCAAGAAGCCCCUGCUCGCAGCCUUGGCGUCCAACUUCGCUGCACAGUGGUGCCGAUCCAAAACAGCGGCCCCGGAUCACCUCCGCACUGCGUGCUUCACCGGAUCUGCGCAGCCCCAACAUCGACGCCGUUCACCUCGGAGAGAACCCCGUGUUUUGCGUGGAGAAGGCAAGCCGCUCGACGCUCGUCGGAUGUUUGGAGCAAUGCACAAAUCAGAAUCACCGUCAUUCUUGCAAACACCGUUUGGGUUUGUUUAUGGUGAGCUGA
rnacentral:misc_RNA from 1 species